CCUUUGCUGCUCUCCUGGUUGACUCUUCCAUGGACCCACACUUUGUCCAGCAGCUCCACAGCACCUUUCCCACUUGACCCUCUGUCAUGGACAACCCUCUUCCAACACUGAUCCCAAAGGUGCAAGACACUGAGGGCUUUGGUGUUUGAAAGCUGAUGGAAGGAUCCCCCCCCCUCCCCCAGCUCCAGGACAUCUCCUUUGGGAAUCCUGGAGAAGAGGUUCCUUGCUUUGAACUCUGAGUCUGUGAAUUGGUCCAAUCCCAAGAUGAUUUGUGUUGGUGAAAGCACUUUCACACGCUGUGAGUCAGACAAACUGCAUUCAUGGCUUGCUGCUGCACCAGUUCCAAAAUAGCUGAUGGACACGUGAAGUGGGAUUGUGUUUGCCAAGUCUGUUUUGCUGAAGUGUUGGUGGGCUGAGAGCUUGAGGAGAGCACAGGAUCACUCCAAACCAGGAGAUCCCUCUGACUGCUGCUCCACAGGCCUGGGAGAUCCUGGGGAACAUCACCAGGUGGGAUUUGGAUGAAGGAGCAGGGCAAAGUCACUCCUCAGCUCCUGUAUAAAGACCCCUUCAAACUAAAGCUUCAUCCCAUUCCACGCCCUGACUGGCCAGCAGAGCAACUUCCAUGUGUUUCUCUUUGGGACAACUGGAGGAAGCAGAAAUUUUCCAGAAGUUUCAACCAUUUCAAGCUCCACCAAAGCAAAAUUUCCUGAUUGCAAAGAUUCCCUUGGUAACUGGAGGAAGGCGGUCCUGGAGGAGCUCUGUCCUGGAGCACAGGAAUGACAGGCAUUAACAAACAGCACCCAGUGACUUGUGCUACGAAACAUUUGUGUUCUCAAGAGCUGAGAGGUGUGUCCAGGGCUCCAAACCCAUCCUGCAGUGGGAGAUGCAGGUCUGAGGAGCCGGGGACACACCCCAGUUUGCUCAGUGAAAAGGAGCCCGCUAUGACCAUGCCCUGCACUCCAGGAGAUCCCAGGUGAUUCCUCACACUUGUGGGUGUUCUGAAGACCUUUCCAGAAAUGCCUCCUUUACUCCCAGGGCUGGGAUUUCUCCUUCUGCUUGGGUGGCAAGGAACUGCUGGAGCUUCUGCUGGGACAUACCUG